UAGGGAAUCUUCGGCAAUGGACGGAAGUCUGACCGAGCAACGCCGCGUGAGUGAAGAAGGUUUUCGGAUCGUAAAGCUCUGUUGUAAGAGAAGAACGAGCGUGAGAGUGGAAAGUUCACACUGUGACGGUAUCUUACCAGAAAGGGACGGCUAACUACGUGCCAGCAGCCGCGGUAAUACGUAGGUCCCGAGCGUUGUCCGGAUUUAUUGGGCGUAAAGCGAGCGCAGGCGGUUAGAUAAGUCUGAAGUUAAAGGCUGUGGCUUAACCAUAGUACGCUUUGGAAACUGUUUAACUUGAGUGCAAGAGGGGAGAGUGGAAUUCCAUGUGUAGCGGUGAAAUGCGUAGAUAUAUGGAGGAACACCGGUGGCGAAAGCGGCUCUCUGGCUUGUAACUGACGCUGAGGCUCGAAAGCGUGGGGAGCAAACAGGAUUAGAUACCCUGGUAGUCCACGCCGUAAACGAUGAGUGCUAGGUGUUAGACCCUUUCCGGGGUUUAGUGCCGUAGCUAACGCAUUAAGCACUCCGCCUGGGGAGUACGACCGCAAGGUUG
rnacentral:rRNA from 1 species